CGGACGGGUGGAGUAACGACGUGGAAACCUAGCCGUAUACUGGGGGAGUAACAACUUAGUAAAUAAGGUGCUAAUACCGCAUAAGCGCACAGCUUCGCAUGAAGUGGUGUGAAAACUACUGGUGGUAUACGAUGGUUCCGCGUCUGAUUAGCUUGUUGGCGGGGUAAUGGCUCACCAAGGCGACGAUCAGUAGCCGGCCUGAGAGGGUGAACGGCCACAUUGGGACUGAGACACGGCCCAAACUCCUACGGGAGGCAGCAG
rnacentral:rRNA from 1 species